AAUCAACGCUGGCGGCGUGCCUCAGACAUGCAAGUCGAACGAUUAAACUUUCCUUCGGGAAAGAUAUAAAGUGGCGCACGGGUGAGUAACACGUAGGUAAUGUACCGUAGGGUGGGGAAUAACAAUCGGAAACGAUUGCUAAUACCGCAUAAUGCAGCGGCACCGCGAGGUGACAGUUGUUAAAGGAGCAAACCGCCUUAUGAGCAGCCUGGGGCAGAUUAGCUAGUUGGUAAGGUAAUGGCUUACCAAGGCUACGAACUGUAACCGAACUGAGAGGGUGGGCGGUCACACUGACACUUAAUAACGGGUCAGACUCCUACGGGAGGCAGCAGUCGGGAAUUUUGGGCAAUGGGCGAAAGCCUGACCCAGCAACGCCGCGUGAAGGAUGAAGUCUUUCGGGAUGUAAACUUCGUAAGAAUAGGAAGAAUAAAUGACGGUACUAUUUGUAAGGUCCGGCUAACUACGUGCCAGCAGCCGCCUAAAAC
rnacentral:rRNA from 1 species